CCAGGUUAAGCAACAGCAUAGUAACACUGCUGGACUGACUGAGAUUCUUCAACGGUAUUCAUGGCAGGUUAAUUCUGUGCAUGUCAACGAUUAUCCCGACUCUGGCGUUCUGAGCUGAGCACGAGCAAACACAGGCUGUGUAUUUGCUAGAACCAGCCAUCACAAAGAGGCACUGCUGCUGCCAGCGCCUGACAGAAACACGACAAAGCACAGCGUCUGUCCCACCCGCACCGCCACGAUGACCCCAAAGCCCCGUCAGAAGCCCCUCGCCGAGCUGAAAUGUCCCUGAGGAGAGUUUCGUGUGCAGUUUUUUGCACCAUGCAUCUAGAAAGGUGAGGACCAACUGAGGGGGGCAGAGAGGUGAGCCACAGGAAUACUACUUUAAUCAUAACUUCUGUGGAAAGGA